rnacentral:lncRNA from 1 species
CAAUGAAGGGGUCAUUUAAGGAUUGCUUCAAUAUUGACUGGCUUCAGGUACUAUCGCUGCUUUUUUUGUCAGCACCUUUGGUCACAAGUAGGAUCAGAAGGAAGUAA